GGUCAACCUGGUGUACCAGGUUAUUAUUAUGGUUGCAAAAAAGGACAGAAAGGAGAUAGGGGCAUUCCAGGAAUUUUUGGACAUCCAGGACCACCUGGUGUACCUGGACCUCCAGGUCUAUCAGUCCCUGGACUUAAAGGAGAAAAAGGGGAACAAGGUCUCCAAGGUCUAGAAGGUCUGAGGGGAUCCCAAGGGCAAGCUGGUGUUGAAGGAAGAACAGGGCCUGUAGGGAGCCCUGGACCACCGGGGCCAAAAGGCAACCCUGGCUUGCCUGGACUUCCAGGUCUACCCGGUA
rnacentral:lncRNA from 1 species